CAUGUAGGCGGCUUAAUAAGUCGAGCGUGAAAAUGCGGGGCUCAACCCCGUAUGGCGCUGGAAACUGUUAGGCUUGAGUGCAGGAGAGGAAAGGGGAAUUCCCAGUGUAGCGGUGAAGUGCGUAGAUAUUGGGAGGAACACCAGCGGCGAAGGCGCCUUUCUGGACUGUGUCUGACGCUGAGAUGCGAAAGCCAGGGUAGCGAACG
rnacentral:rRNA from 1 species